rnacentral:rRNA from 1 species
UACGUAGGGUGCAAGCGUUAUCCGGAUUUAUUAGGCGUAAAGGGCUCGUAGGCGGUUCGUCGCGUCCGGUGUGAAAGUCCAUCGCUUAACGGUGGAUCCGCGCCGGGUACAGGCGGGCUUGAGUGCGGUAGGGGAGACUGGAAUUCCCGGUGUAACGGUGGAAUGUGUAGAUAUCGGGAAGAACACCAAUGGCGAAGGCAGGUCUCUGGGCCGUUACUGACGCUGAGGAGCGAAAGCGUGGGGAGCGAACAGG